UACAGAGGGGGCAAGCGUUGUUCGGAAUUACUGGGCGUAAAGGGCGCGUAGGCGGCCCGCUAGGUCGAACGUGAAAUCCCCGAGCUCAACUCGGGAACUGCGUCCGAUACUGGUGGGCUUGAAUCCGGGAGAGGGAUGCGGAAUUCCAGGUGUAGCGGUGAAAUGCGUAGAUAUCAGGAGGAACACCGGUGGCGAAGGCGGGUCUCUGGGCCGAUACUGACGCUGAGGAGCGAAAGCGUGGGGAGCGAACAGG
rnacentral:rRNA from 1 species